CUCUUUCCUCUUGUCCCUUUAUAUACCCUUUCCUUCAUAACUUCUUUUAUAUACUCUUUCCUCUUCUCUUCUCCCCCUUUUUGUCAUCAUCAAAAACAUAGAUAUGGAAAAAGAUGCAAUAACAAACAAACUUCAAACUUCAUUGAUCAAAAUAGGAACAUUUUCAUAUAUUAAUGCUCAAAACGAUGAAAAGUACAAUGUUCCACAAUCAAGAUUUAAAGGUAUAAGGGAAAGACAAGAUACAUAAGGGAAAAAGCAAGAUACAUAUAAGAAAAGGCAAGAUACAUACGAGAACUAGAUUUCUAGCCUAGGCUCUAAACAUAAAUGCUAAAAUCAGCCUAGGAAGAAUCUAAUGGCUGGGAUCUAGUCCUCAUCCGCCUAGCAUAGGUGGCGAGGGGAGGUCGAGCCUGGUGAGACUGGGUCUGGCGUGGAGCACGUCGAGCUGGAUGACUCUGUGCCAAUAUCUCUGACUCAGCAGCCUGUGGCACAGAAGGUCCAUGUGUCUCUC
rnacentral:lncRNA from 1 species